UACGUAGGGUGCGAGCGUUAAUCGGAAUUACUGGGCGUAAAGCGUGCGCAGGCGGUUCGCUAAGUCAGACGUGAAAGCCCCGGGCUUAACCUGGGAACGGCGUUUGAAACUGGCGGGCUGGAGUGCGGCAGAGGGGGGUGGAAUUCCACGUGUAGCAGUGAAAUGCGUAGAUAUGUGGAGGAACACCGAUGGCGAAGGCAGCCCCCUGGGCCGGCACUGACGCUCAUGCACGAAAGCGUGGGGAGCAAACAGG
rnacentral:rRNA from 1 species